rnacentral:misc_RNA from 1 species
GAAAUGCGAUAAGUAAUGUGAAUUGCACAAUUCAGUGAAUCAUCGAAUCUUUGAACGCACAUUGCGCCCGCCAGUAUUCUGGCGGGCAUGCCUGUCCGAGCGUCAUUUCAACCAUCAAGCCCCCGGGCUUGUGUUGGGGACCUGCGGCUGCCCGCAGGCCCUGAAACCAGUGGCGGGCUCGCUGUCACACCGAGCGUAGUAGCAAUCACCUCGCUCAGGGCGUGCUGCGGGUUCCGGCCGUUAAACAGCCUUACAAAACCCAAGGUUGACCUCGGAUCAGGUAGGAAGACCCGCUGAACUUAAGC